GACGAAGGAUCCAAGCGUUAUCCGGAUUUAUUGGGUUUAAAGGGUGCGUAGGCGGACUUGUAAGUCAGUGGUGAAAGCCCGAUGCUUAACAUCGGAACUGCCAUUGAUACUGCAAGUCUUUGAAUAUGUUUGAAGUGGGCGGAAUGUGUCGUGUAGUGGUGAAAUGCUUAGAUAUGACACAGAACACCGAUUGCGAAGGCAGCUCACUAAACCAUUAUUGACGCUGAGGCACGAAAGCGUGGGGAGCAAACAGG
rnacentral:rRNA from 1 species